CGGCUAACGUAACAUUGCUACGUUGCUAUUUUCAGCAAAGGUUCCACUUUAAGAACGUUUCCCAUAGCCAUCUGGGUAAUGCGUGUGCUGAUGCAGCCAAACAUACAAGAAUAGGUUCGAUUUAAAGACAUCUCUAGAGAUCUCAGAGGAUAGGAUGGCUGAACUGCAGCUCAGCCGGGCUGCUACAACAUCUCCCAAGUGUUUACCUCUGGUC
rnacentral:lncRNA from 1 species